ensembl:lncRNA
CAGUUAGAUACAAUGGGGAAUAUGAAUGAAACCACCUUUGCACAAAUGAGAAAAAUCUAACAGCAAAAGAAAGCUGACCUGACACCACCUUGCUUCUAACCUCUAAGCUGCCCUUGUUCAUUCCUGGGCAUAGGCCAAACUAACUUUGGGAAGAAUUUAGUUCAUAGUUUAUGAAACAAAGAUGAUUACCUAGACUCUUCCCUGAAACAAACUCCCUCCUUGCUUGGGGACCAGACUGCUUCUAUAAAACUAACACAUUAGCCACAGAUUGGAAAUUAUGGCUCAGGAGUCAUGCAGCCAGAGGCCACCAGAUUCCAACCUCCCCAGUUGCAACUACAGAUUAGUAUUGAAAAACCUAAGGUUAGUAUUUGAGGUAUUUUUCAGAUCCUGCAUUCUGAUGGAUCAGCUGGCACCACCCAGACUGCCAAGCUGGUUCUUUUGAUCUUAUGGUCACCAACCAGCAACUGACUCAGCACAAGAGGACAAGUUCCAGCCUCCUAUGAUUUCAUCCCCAACAGAACCAAUCGGCAUUCCCCAUUCCCUAGCCCCCUGCCCACAAAGCUAUCCUUAAAAAACCCCAGCCUCCAAAUUUUCAGAGAGGCUGAUUUGAGUAAUAUUAAAACUCCGCUGGCUAAAUAGGAGACCAGAGUUUUGUUAUCAGCCUCUGAAAAUUUGGAGGCAUAAAUCAUACAUAACCUUGAACUCCUGGGCUCAAACAAUCCUCCUGCCUCAGCCUCUCAUGGAGCUAGAAUUACAGGUGCAAGCCACUAUGCCCUGCCAAUUUCUUUUUCAUAUAUGUGUAUAUAUGUGUGUGUGUAUAUAGAUAUGUGAAAAGUUUACACACACGUUUUUAAAAGAGAGAUGGAGUCUUGCUAUUUUGCCCAGGCUGAUCUCGAACUCCCAGGCUGAAGCAUUCCCUCCUGCCUUGGCCUCCCAUAGUUUUGGGAUUACAGGCGUCAGCCACCACAUUCAGCCUUUUAAUGCUUUUAAAAUUAAGUUUUUAUUUCAAAGAAAUGCAUGUACACAGUUUAAAAAGUCAAAUUAAUGCGAGGCCUCUAGUGAGAAACAGCAGCCCCUGAGUCCCCUCCUCAUUUACACUCCCAGAGGGAACCAUCUGAAUUCUUUCAGUUGUUUCUUCUGGUAUUUGUUUACCUCCAUAUUUCUAAAUAAUUUAUAUACAUUGUUAAUUCUUGUCUUUUCUUUUUUUUUCAAUUUUGGAGAUUUUUGUUCUUCCUUCUGAAUAGGACAGAUGGAAUUUGGCACUCUAACACUCAUCUUGCCUACCUCCACCUGCCUUCCUCUUCCUCUCGAUGUAAUUAUGUCACAAUUGUUGAUUUAAAAAAUAUGAGAGCUGGGCACAGUGGCUCACACCUGUAAUCCCAGCACUUUGGGAAGCUGAGGUGGGAAGACUGCUUGAGGCUAGCUUGGGUAACAUAGCAAGACCCAGCUCUGUUAUAAAUUAAUUAAUUAAUUAAAACGCAAUAUGAUUAAUUCCGUAUUUUUCAAGGCUAAGUCAUACAGGAUACUGUGAUUACACUUCCUUCUUUCCACAACUGUUUUCUUUGGAGUUCUUUUGUUUUGUUUUGUUUUUGAGAUGGAGUCUCGCACUGUCACCCAGCCUGGAGAGCAGUGACAUGAUUUCGGCUCACUGCAACCUCCGCCUCCCAGGUUCAAAUGAUUCUCCUAUCUCAGCCUCCCAAGCAGCUGGGACUACAGGCAUGCGCCACCACGCCUGGCUAAUUUUUUCGUAUUUUUAAUAGAGACGGGGUUUCAUCAUAUUGGCCAGGCUGAUCUCAAACUCCUGACCUCGCGAUCCACCCGCCUCCACCUCCCAAAGUGCUGGGAUUACAGGCAUGAGCCACCGCGCCCAGGUGGAGUUUAUUUUUAACUUAGUUUUCUGAAUACCUAUCACUACUUUAUUCCCACACUUUCCUCUAUAUGUCUAACAUCUCUCAAUACAAUCAUGCAUUGAGUAACUGUCAGCUCCAGCUCCACCAUCUUCUUGCUCCAAUCUGGGCCUGCCCUAUAGCUUAACAAAUACAGUAUUUUAGGGGUUCCCUUCAACAUCCAGGACCCCCCAUUACCCCUCUCAUCUUGAAGCCUGUUUCCUAUAUACUAUCUCUUCCCUUUUUCUGGUUCAUUCCAACAUUUUAAUUUGAAAAUUUUUCAGUAGUUUCCUGAGAAAGAAUGAAGGGGAGGUAAAUGUUUUGAGCAUUUGCAUGUCCAAUGAUGUCUUUAUUCUUCACUUGAUUAAUAAUUUAAGUUCAGCCUGUCCCUGAACCAAGAGAAGCAGCUGAGAACAUCAUCAGUGCUCUGUGCAAGCCCUCACUCCCCAGACGAAGAAGGGAAGAGCUGAGGCAAGCACAUAAGGUUUGUUCUUCCCAAAGUCACUAAUCAGGUAAGUCCCUCAUCUCCACUAAAACCAGGAGUGUUGCAGCUAUUGGAGCUGGAGAAAUAUUAGAUAUGGAAAAGAAGCAUACAUGCAACCAAUGAAAACGUAUAAACUCAUGUAAGGAUAAAAAGAAAAGAAGAAGUAGCUUCUUCUGUAUCUUUCCAGAAGUAUUCUGUCUAUAUACGAGAAAAUAUACAUUUAUCCCUUUCUUCGUCUUUGUUUUAACAUAUACUAGCAUUCUAUACAUACAUAAUUUAUUUCACACUUGGUUCUACAUCUUAAAGAGUUUGAUUCUUUUCUACUGCUUCAGAGUAUUUCAUUGUAUGACUGUACUAUACAGUUGACCUUGAACAAUAUGGGUUUGAACUGCUCAGGUCCACUUAUAUGAAGAUUUUCUUCUGCCUCGGCCACCCGAGACAGCAAGUCUGCCACCGAGACUCCUCUUCAGCCUACUCAAUGUGAAGAUGAUGAGGAUGAAGACUCUUAUGAUGAACCACUUCUGCUUAAUGAAUAGUAAAAAAUAUUUUCUCUUCUUUAUGAUCUGCUUAAUUCUUUUCUCUACUUUACUUUAUAAGAACACAGGAUAUAGGCCAGGUGCGGUGGCUCACACCUGUAAUUCCAGCACUUUGGGAGGCUGAGGAGGUUGGAUCAUGAGGUCAGGAGUUUGAGACCAUCCUGGCCAACAUAGUGAAACCCCAUCUCUACUGAAAAUACAAAAAAUUAGCCAGGCAUGGUGGCAUGUGCCUGUAGUCCCAGCUACUCAGGAGGCUGAGGCAGGAGAAUCGCUUGAACCCGGGAGGCGGAGGUUGCGGAUCGCGCCACUGUGCUCCAGCCUGGGAAACAGAGCAAGACUCCGUCUCAAAAAAAAAAAAAGGACAAAGGAUAUAAUACCUAUAACAUACAAAAUAUGUGUUAAUCAACUGUUUAUAUUAUCAGCAAGGCUUCCAGUCAACAUUAGGCUGAUAAUUAAGUUUUGAGAGAGCAAAAAAUUAUAUGCAAGGCUGAGCAUAGUGGCAUGCCUGUAAUCCCAGCUACCUGUAAGACUGAAGCAGGUGGAUCACUUGAACCCAGCCUAAAAAACUUGCCUCAAAUAAAAACUAAUUUCAACGGGGUGGGGUGGGGCUCAUGCCUGUAAUCCUAACACUUUGGGAGGCCUAGAUGGGAGGAUUGCUUGAAUCUAGGAGUUCGAGACCAGUCUGGGCAACAUAGUGAGACACCUCUACAAAAAAUAAAAUCAGCCAGGUGUGAUGGUGUGUGCCUAUAGUCCCAGCUACUUGGGAGGCUGAGGCAGGAGGAUCGCUUGAACCCAGGAGGCAGAGGUUGUAGUGAGCCAAAAUUGUGCCACUGCACUCCAGGUGACAGAGUGACACCCUGUCUCAAAUAACAAUAAUAAUUUCAAAGCAGAAAAUUUAUCUAGGUCGGUUGUGGUGGCUCACACCUGUAAUCCCGGCACUUUGGGAGGCUUAGGUGGGCAGAUCACCUGAGUCCAGGAGUUCAACACCAGCCUGGCCAACAUGGUGAAACUGACGUCUCUCCUAAAAAUACAAAAAUUAGCCAGGCAUGGUGGUGUGUGCCUGUAAUCCCAGCUACUCGGGAGGCUGAGACAGGAGAAUCACUUGAACCCAGAGGCGGAGGUUGCAGUGAGCCAAGAUCACGCCACUGCAUUCAAACCUGGGUGAUAGAGCCAGACUCCAUCUCAAAAAAAGAAAAAA